rnacentral:rRNA from 1 species
UACGUAGGGUGCAAGCGUUAAUCGGAAUUACUGGGCGUAAAGCGUGCGCAGGCGGUGAUGUAAGACAGAUGUGAAAUCCCCGGGCUCAACCUGGGAACUGCAUUGGUGACUGGCGGGCUAGAGUAUGGCAGAGGGGGGUAGAAUUCCGACGUGUAGCAGUGAAAUGCGUAGAGAUGUGGAGGAAUACCGAUGGCGAAGGCAGCCCCCUGGGCCAAUACUGACGCUCAUGCACGAAAGCGUGGGGAGCAAACAGG